rnacentral:rRNA from 1 species
CCUCCCUCUUGCUGCGUGCUUAACACAUGCAAGUCGAACGCUGAAGCUCAGCUUUUGUUGGGUGGAUGAGUGGCGAACGGGUGAGUAACACGUGAGUAACCUGCCCCCUUCUUUGGGAUAACGCCCGGAAACGGGUGCUAAUACUGGAUAUUCACUGGUCUUCGCAUGGGGGUUGGUGGAAAGGGUUUUUCUGGUGGGGGAUGGGCUCGCGGCCUAUCAGCUUGUUGGUGGGGUGAUGGCCUACCAAGGCUUUGACGGGUAGCCGGCCUGAGAGGGUGACCGGUCACAUUGGGACUGAGAUACGGCCCAGACUCCUACGGGAGGCAGCAGUGGGGAAUAUUGCACAAUGGGCGCAAGCCUGAUGCAGCGACGCCGCGUGAGGGAUGGAGGCCUUCGGGUUGUGAACCUCUUUCGCUCAUGGUCAAGCCGCAACAAUGGUUGUGGUGAGGUUAGUGGGUAAAGAAGCGCCGGCUAACUACGUG